rnacentral:lncRNA from 1 species
GUUUUCUUUCCUCUUUUUGUCUAUCCAUAGGUUUGUUCCUUUAUAGAGUACUGUAGAAAUCUGCAGGUAGCUGUUCACUUUGAAUUUGAUUAAGAAAGAGGACAAAAGCUACUCAUUUGGAUCCAAGGUCUGCCUGUGAGUCGACUACAGGUCUUAUCAACACUGGAAGCAAGAAAGGGGAAAAUUGCACCAGAUCAGUGCAGGUUGGUGUGAGGCCUACCAGAUAGACCUAUAGAGUAUAGUGGUAUAUACCAAAGGGGCUG